rnacentral:rRNA from 1 species
UACGGGGGGGGCAAGCGUUGUUCGGAAUUACUGGGCGUAAAAGGCUCGUAGGUGGCCAACUAAGUCAGACGUGAAAUCCCUCGGCUUAACCGGGGAACUGCGUCUGAUACUGGAUGGCUUGAGUUUGGGAGAGGGAUGCGGAAUUCCAGGUGUAGCGGUGAAAUGCGUAGAUAUCUGGAGGAACACCGGUGGCGAAGGCGGCAUCCUGGACCAACACUGACGCUGAGUGAGCGAAAGCCAGGGGAGCAAACGGG